GCCUGGGUGGCUCAAUCGGUUGAGCGUCUGACUUCGGCUCAGGUCAUGAUCUCACAGUUUGUGGGUUCGAGCCCCGCGUCGGGCU
rnacentral:tRNA from 1 species